rnacentral:tRNA from 1 species
UCCUUGGUGGUCCAGUUGUUAGGACUCUGCACUUUCACUGCAGAGGGCAAAGGGUUCAAUCCCUGGUUGGGGAA